UCCUAAAUUUUUGUCUGAAAAAUGUAUUUUGUACUUGUUCUAGGGGAGAUGAUUUUAUUAAAUACACUUCUCAAGAUUGAAAAUUAUUUUCCUGGAGAACUUUGAAGUUGUGUCUCAUCUGUCAGCUGUUAGUCUAAUCCCUAUUCUUGGGAAGCAACAUUCUGCACAGGGUUGGUGCCUGAGCUGGAAGAAGACCCUCUGAAGGCAGACUCUCGUUCCUCUGAAGCUAUCACAACUAACCAGAAGAAAUUCUUUCCAGCACAAAGAACUCAACAAACCGGUUUCAAAAAUCCCGUUUCUCCAUGUUUACUUUCUUUAUUAUGUGUUUACUUCUUGAAUGUUGAAAUAUGUAAGGACCUUGUAGAGAGAAAU
rnacentral:lncRNA from 1 species